GUAACUCUAAAUGGAUCAUGCACGCAGACUUUGGAACAAUAACUCAUCAAUUCACGACGGGACGUCGUUUAAGCGCGAGCUGCUUGAGUUUCUGCACACGUCCACGCGCGGGGACCAGCGACAGACUCGAUCAUAGCAGUCCUCGGAUAGUAGCACAAGAUACUUGCUAAGAAUUUGGAUAACAGGCUGUAUGUGCACUUGAGAGUCAGAUCACUCAAGCCAAAGUCAAUGGCUGUUUGUCACUAACUGACAUCAGUACCUUUCGCGUUGCUCUUUAUAGUGACGUAGUAGCGAGUUAACGCGAUUCUCGGGCAUAGUUCGUGGUUUUUAACAAAUGCACUGCUGCAAAGACCUCUGCCUUUACGAGUUUUUUGAUAUCUGCUUGUGGAUUAGAUUUGAUUAUGCUGUUAUGGAUCACCUCAGGUUUGGCACUCAAAGAUGACCGGUCAUCAUUGUCCACUAAAAGGAAAAGGAGAUUUUGUAAAUCAGUGAGAAAACACGUAAAUCAACGGCCCUCAGAUCAGGAGACGGAAGACGAGCGGAGAGUGGGAGUAGCGAUAGUGGUGGAGGAGUGAACCCGGAGCAGGUGAACACAGCUGCGGACCGCCAUGGGCUCUCUUCUAUUGGUCCCGACUCUUCAUCUUCGGGUCUCUGAGAGACGGCAGGGGCCAGCCAGGGAGCGCCGGAGUGGGCAGGCCAGGCAGCUCGCUUUCCCCGCCGGCUACCGGCUCCUCGGCAGUGAGGAGGGAGAGAAAUCAAUACUGAGGAGAGAUGCUGCCAGGGGUCGCUCAACGCUACCUCCAGCCAUAGAGCCACGGGAGCCCAAGUGUUCAGCUUUCUCUCUCACAGCCCGAUCUCAGUCAACUUGCAUCAGCUAAAGAGAGGGCCAACAGCCUUGACGUUCUUCAUGCUACACCGAGUGUGUGUGGUUCUGCCAGAGGGUCUUUUCAGGCUCGGCAUCACUUGAUAAAACUGUGCCUGCUGGAGAACGAGUAGAAAAAGAAUGUCAAAGGUCUUUCUUUCACCCAUCUUUGAUUCCUUUUUCGCCAUGAGUGCACAUUCCCCCUGACUGUUGUAAUGAGUGCUUGACGGAGAUCUCUUUUACGCUAAACCAAGAGGCCUUCUUUUUUUAGUGGUACUCCUCCUAAGCAUGCACAAAGUGCUCUACAUUUGAUGGGCUUGGAUGAGAGAGCAGUUUGAAUCCUUUUUCCACCUUUUCCAUGAUGGUUUUCCAUGAUUUGUUUAAGGACGCCACUAUUGGAGAGGCUCGGAACAGGACAUGGCCUUGAUUUGUAGGUGAAGGUUUUGGCACUUAACCUUCCAGGGAACUUUACAACGGCUUUCAGCUCUGACAAUGGCACUUGAUUGGUAUUAAUAACAUUGCAGACAAAUCGAGGACAGUGUGAGAUGGAGAUGUUCCAAAAAGUUGCUCCCACAAGGCUGCAGAUCCAUUGGGACGUGGACAACUAAAACGUGGCCUGAACUAGAUGUUAACCCUUCAAAAAGUGGAGUGCUGGUGGCAGUGGAUAGUUCCUGUAUCCUUGGAAGCUCAACAGGAAGUUGUAUUUGGUUUUUUACUAAAUCUUGAUGCCAGGAUCAGCACAGACCAUCACUGGAGAUAGUUUUCCCUUUCUUCUUUAUUUAAUUACUGAAUGUAACUGUUUUUAAGAAGACUGUUUGUGUUGUUUGUAUCGGAUCUCUCUUUUUUUCAACGUAUUUCUGGACAAUACAGGUAAGUUCGUUGUUUGAAAAAAGAACUAUUUCUUAAAUGUACAGUACAAAGGACAAUUAAUAAUAAUGAGACUUACUGCCAACUUAAAAAUUGAUUAAACUUUAUCAUAGAUAGAUAUAGAUGGAUAGAUAGAUAGAUAGAUAGAUAGAUAUGUAUUCAGAAAUAUAUUUAUAUAGAUUGUUACAUAUUUAUAUAGAUAUUCAUAUAAAUGAAUAUUCAAAUACAUAUUCAGAUAUUCAUAUAGAUUGAUCAGAUAGAUACUCAGAUAGAAAUUCAAACAUAUAUAUAUAUAUAUAUAUAUAUAUAGAGAGAGAGAGAGAGAGAGAGAGAGAGAGAGAGAGAGAGAGAGAGAGACUUUUUAUUGAUUUGCUAUUGCUUUAAUCUAUUCCAUUAAAGUGAUUCCUGCCUAACUGCCUUGUAUUAAAGAUAAAAAGUGCUUAAUUAAAUUCUGAAAAAGAAAUGAUCA